rnacentral:rRNA from 1 species
CCUACGGGAUGCAGCAGUGGGGGAUAUUGCACAAUGGGGGAAACCCUGAUGCAGCGACGCCGCGUGUGGGAAGACGGUCCUCUGGAUUGUAAACCACUGUCCCCAGGGACGAAGAUGACGGUACCUGGGGAGGAAGCUCCGGCUAACUACGUGCCAGCAGCCGCGGUAAUACGUAGGGAGCGAGCGUUGUCCGGAAUUACUGGGUGAAAAGGGAGCGUAGGCGGGGAUGAAAGUUGGGUGUCAAAACUACCGGCUCAACUGGUAGUCGCACUCAAAACUGCAGCUCGUGAGUGAAGGAGAGGCAGGCGGAAGUCCUGGUGUAGCGGUGAAAUGCGUAGAUAUUAGGAGGAACACCAGUGGCGAAGGCGGCCUGCUGGGCUUUUACUGACGCUGAGGCUCGAAAGUGUGGGGAGCAAACAGGAUUAGAUACCCUGGUAGUC